GUCUACAGCCAUACCACCCUGAAUGUGCCCUGAUCUCAUCUCAUCUCAGAAGCUAAGCAGAGUCAGGCCUGGUUAGUUCUUGUAUGGGAGAAUAACAGGAUGAGGAGCUGGACA
rnacentral:rRNA from 1 species